CCUACGGGAGGCAGCAGUGGGGAAUAUUGCACAAUGGGGGGAACCCUGAUGCAGCAACGCCGCGUGGGUGAAGAAGUACUUCGGUAUGUAAAGCCCUGUCAGCAGGGAAGAAAAUGUCGGUACCUGACCAAGAAGCCCCUGCUAAUUACGUGCCAGCAGCCGCGGUAAUACGUAGGGGGCAAGCGUUAUCCGGAUUUACUGGGUGUAAAGGGAGCGUAGACGGUAAGGCAAGUCUGGAGUGAAAGCCCGUGGCUCAACCACGGGACUGCUUUGGAAACUGUGUUGCUGGAGUGCAGGAGGGGUAAGCGGAAUUCCUAGUGUAGCGGUGAAAUGCGUAGAUAUUAGGAAGAACACCGAUGGCGAAGGCGGCUUACUGGGCUGUAACUGACGUUGAGGCACGAAGGCGUGGGGAGCAAACAGGAUUAGAUACCCUAGUAGUC
rnacentral:rRNA from 1 species